AACGAACGCUGGCGGCAUGCCUAACACAUGCAAGUCGAACGAGACCUUCGGGUCUAGUGGCGCACGGGUGCGUAACGCGUGGGAACCUGCCCUUAGGUUCGGAAUAACUCCCCGAAAGGGGUGCUAAUACCGGAUAAUGUCUUCGGACCAAAGAUUUAUCGCCUUUGGAUGGGCCCGCGUUGGAUUCGCUAGUUGGUAGGGUAAAAGCCUACCAAGGCGACGAUCCAUAGCUGGUCUGAGAGGAUGAUCAGCCACACUGGGACUGAGACACGGCCCAGACUCCUACGGGAGGCAGCAGUGGGGAAUAUUGGACAAUGGGCGAAAGCCUGAUCCAGCAAUGCCGCGUGAGUGAUGAAGGCCUUAGGGUUGUAAAGCUCUUUUACCCGGGAUGAUAAUGACAGUACCGGGAGAAUAAGCACCGGCUAACUCCGUG
rnacentral:rRNA from 1 species